rnacentral:lncRNA from 1 species
CACCAGCCCUUGAAGCACUGGACAGCAUGCAUCCUUGGCACUGCUGCCAAUUCCAAUGUGAAUGAGGCCACCCAACACAUCCACACAAGCUCCCAACUUGAGAGUGUCGAUGGGACACGUGUUCUUUGGUGGUGAUGGGGUUGGCACUGGUGUUGGUGGUGGUGGAGGAGGACAUGGUGUCUCAGUGGGUGGAGGAGGCUUAACUGGUACAACUGGGGUAGGUGUAGGUGUUGGUGGGCUUGGUGGUACAACAGGUGGUGAUGGUGGUGGCUUAACUGGUACAACUGGGGUAGGUGUUGGUGUUGGUGGGCUUGGUGGUACAACAGGUGGUGAUGGUGGUGGCUUAACUGGUACAACUGGGGGCUUGGGUACAUAGGGUGGUGGGGGUUGUACAACUGGGGGCUUGGGUACAUAUGGUGGUGGUGGUUGUACAACUGGGGGUUUGGGGAUGAAGGGUGGGUGCACAAUUGGGGGUUUAGGGAUAAAAGGUGGGUGCACGAUUGGGGGCUUGGGGAUGAAGGGUGGGUGCACAAUUGGGGGCUUGGGGAUGAAGGGUGGGUGCACAAUUGGGGGUUUAGGGAUGAAGGGUGGGUGCACAAUUGGGGGUUUAGGGAUGAAGGGUGGGUGCACAAUUGGGGGUUUAGGGAUGAAGGGUGGGUGCACAAUUGGGGGCUUGGGGAUGAAGGGUGGGUGCACAAUUGGGGGCUUGGGGUGGGGUGGUGGUUUGACAAUAGGAGGCUUGGGGAUGAAGGGAGGUCUCACAAUAGGUGGUUUGGGGACAGAAGGAGGUUUUGGUAUAUGGGGAGGAUAUACAAUGGGGGGUUUGGGGCCAUGAGGUGGCUUGGGUACAUGGGGUGGAUGAGGAUGAGGUGGCUUUGAUGGUGGCUUGGGAACAUAGGGAGGCUUUACAUGAGGGGGAUGGGGUGGUUUUGAUGGUGGUUUGGGAACAUAGGGAGGCUUUACAUGAGGAGGAAGAGGUGGUUUUGAUGGUGGUUUGGGAACAGAGGGAGGCUUUACAUGAGGGGGAUGAGGUGGGUGUUUAGGUGGUUUAGGGAUGAAGGGUGGCUUUACAUGAGGAGGCUGUUUGGGUGGCAAGUGUGGAGGGUAUGUUGGUGGUGGACAGUAGGAGUUAGCAAGAGAAGUGAGCAAACUACCCAAAUUCACAAUGAGGACUAAGAGCAAAGCCAGG